rnacentral:rRNA from 1 species
UACGGAGGGGGCUAGCGUUGUUCGGAAUUACUGGGCGUAAAGCGCACGUAGGCGGACUGUUAAGUCGGGGGUGAAAUCCUGGGGCUCAACCUCGGAACUGCCUUUGAUACUGCAAAUCUCGAGUCCGGAAGAGGUGAGUGGAAUUCCUAGUGUAGAGGUGAAAUUCGUAGAUAUUAGGAAGAACACCAGUGGCGAAGGCGGCUCACUGGUCCGGUACUGACGCUGAGGUGCGAAAGCGUGGGGAGCAAACAGG